rnacentral:rRNA from 1 species
AGCUCCAAUAGCGUAUAUUAAAGUUGCUGCAGUUAAAAAGCUCGUAGUUGGAUUUGUGGGAUGGCCGUCCGGCGGGGGGCCAUUUAUUGGUCCCGUUUGUCCUGGUUUUCGGCCUUCCCUUUCUCGGGUCUAGCGUAUUGGCUGGCAUUAGGUUGUCGGCCGCUUCGCGCCCGUCGUUUACUGUGAAAAAAUUAGAGUGUUCAAAGCAGGCUUAGGCCGUUGGAUACAUUAGCAUGGAAUAAUGAGAUAGGGCCACCGCGGUCUAUUUUGUUGGUUUGCACGUUGUGGUAAUGAUUAACAGGAACGGUUGGGGGUAUUCGUAUUCAAUUGUCAGAGGUGAAAUUCUUGGAUUUGUGGAAGACGAACUACUGCGAAAGCAUUUACCAAGGAUGUUUUCAUU